rnacentral:rRNA from 1 species
CCCAUCCAGGAAGGCGCAGGCGCGCAAAUUACUCAUGUUGUAUCGACGAAGUAGUGACGAGAAAUAAUAGUGGGGUGGGCUUUGCCUACUCUUUCUGUAAUGAGAGCAAUGUAAAAACCUCAUCGAGGAUCAACUGGAGGGCAAGUCUGGUGCCAGCAGCCGCGGUAAUUCCAGCUCCAGAAGCGUGUAUUAAAGUUGUCGCGGUUAAAAAGCUCGUAGUUGAAGUAUUGGUAGGUUGGAUCGGCGCUUGCGGUGAAUGCCGCUUGAUUGUUCUGAGUCCGGCUGGCCAUCAUUCUGAUGUCAUUGGCGUCAGAUCAUUUACUGUAAAAAAAUUAGAGUGUUUCAAGCAAAAGGUUGUAUUUGGAAUAUAGUAGUAUGGAAUAAUAAGAUAGGACUUUGGUACUAUUUUGUUGGGUUUGUAUACCAAGGUAAUGAUUAACAGGGACAGUUGGGGGUAUUCG